rnacentral:tRNA from 2 species
GCUUCGGUAGCUCAGCUGGCUAGAGCAAUACGAUACGUUCCUAUCGGUCGGUGGUUCGAGUCCACCCCGAGGCC